CCUACGGGGGGCAGCAGUAGGGAAUCUUUCACAAUGGGCGAAAGCCUGAUGGAGCAACGCCGCGUGCAGGAUGAAGGCCUUCGGGUUGUAAACUGCUUUUAUAAGCGAGAAAUAUGAUGGUAACUUAUGAAUAAGGGUCGGCUAACUACGUGCCAGCAGCCGCGGUCAUACGUAGGAUCCGAGCAUUAUCCGGAGUGACUGGGUGUAAAGAGUUGCGUAGGUGGCAUAAUAAGUAGCUAGUGAAAUCUGGUGGCUCAACCAUUCAGACUAUUAGCUAAACUGUUAAGCUCGAGACCGUUAGGGGUAACUGGAAUUUCUAGUGUAGGAGUGAAAUCCGUAGAUAUUAGAAGGAACACCAAUAGCGUAGGCAGGUUGCUGGGACGGUUCUGACACUAAGGCACGAAAGCGUAGGGAGCAAACGGGAUUAGAUACCCCUGUAGUC
rnacentral:rRNA from 1 species